GAGGUGGCAAGCGUUGUCCGGGAAUUAUUGGGGCGUAAAGCGCGCGCAGGCGGUUCUUUAAGUCUGAUGUGAAAGCCCACGGGCUCAGCCGUGGAGGGUCAUUGGAAACUGGAGAACUUGAGUACAGAAGAGGAAAGCGGAAUUCCACGUGUAGCGGUGAAAUGCGUAGAGAUGUGGAGGAACACCAGUGGCGAAGGCGGCUUUCUGGUCUGUAACUGACGCUGAGGCGCGAAAGCGUGGGGAGCAAACAGGAUUAGAUACCCUGGUAGUCCACGCCGUAAACGAUGAGUGCUAAGUGUUAGGGGGUUUCCGCCCCUUAGUGCUGCAGCUAACGCAUUAAGCACUCCGCCUGGGGAGUACGGCCGCAAAGGCUGA
rnacentral:rRNA from 1 species